UACGGAGGGUGCAAGCGUUAUCCGGAUUCACUGGGUUUAAAGGGUGCGUAGGCGGGCAGGUAAGUCCGUGGUGAAAUCUCUGAGCUUAACUCAGAAACUGCCAUGGAUACUAUUUGUCUUGAAUAUUGUGGAGGUGAGCGGAAUAUGUCAUGUAGCGGUGAAAUGCUUAGAUAUGACAUAGAACACCAAUUGCGAAGGCAGCUUACUUCAAGAUUAUUGACACUGAGGCACGAAAGCGUGGGGGAUCAAACAGG
rnacentral:rRNA from 1 species